GCGGCAGUAGCGCGGUGGUCCCACCUGACCCCAUGCCGAACUCAGAAGUGAAACGCCGUAGCGCCGAUGGUAGUGUGGGGUCUCCCCAUGCGAGAGUAGGGAACUGCCAGGC
rnacentral:rRNA from 10 species